AAGAAGGAACAUUUUAAACCUAGAAGAAGGGAGAUUAAGAUUAGAUAUUAGGAGGAUAUGCUUUACUCACAGAAUGGUGAGGCACUGGGACAGUCUGCCCAGGGAAGCUGUGGAUGCCCCAUCCCUGGAAAUGUCCAAGGCCAGGUUGGAUGAGUCCUGGGCAGCCUGAUCUAGUGAGUGGCAACCCUGCUUAUGACAGGUGGGUUGAAACUGAAUAGUCUUUAACGUCCCUUCCAACCCAAGCCAUUCUAUGGUUCUACGAUAACAACUACAUCAAAUUUAAUCCAUAUUCUUCUUUCUCACUUCCCAUAUUACAAUGAAAUAUAACAAUAAAGGUCGCACCUCCAAAACUCCUGCUGUUGUAGCAGUUGUAACAGGUUCUUCUGUAAAUGUGGAGCUAUUUUUAUCCACACCGGUUGUAGCUUCCACUUUUUCACGUUUGGUUUUAUACUGAAAAAGUUGUUUCAAAAAGAAAAGAUCUGAUUUAAAAAUAUGAGGAAACUGAAAAACGGACAAAGGCAUAGCUGCCCACUAAAAAUAAGGGGAAAAUGAAGCAACUUGACAUACACAUGCAUUAUUUCCCAAUUAAUUUGAGAUACCAUGUUCUUUUUUCUUCUGAUUCUGUAUAUCAAACAAGUGAUUCACAGUAAUCUGCUAUAAAUUCUGCUCUCCAAAUUCCUAGACAUCUGGUGGAUCUUGCAGGGGAUGAGCCAUAGCUCCAGUAAAAGACAAAGGGAUUUUUUGCUGAGACAACUAGUAUGGAAAGAAUCACUGACAGUCACUCUAGAAGCGGACUGUUGUGCUGAUGCACCUGAUUCAAUUCACACUGCUUUCAUCUUCUACACCAAUGGAGCAGAUAUGACAGUCUCACUGUCUACAAAGAAUGCUUACAGCAUCCCACUAUCAGGAUAGUUACACCAAUAUUGCUAUUAUGUAGCCUUUGAAAAGAUGGAUUCCUUUUGUUCUUUCCUAAAGGCUUAGUACAGGGUUUUAUAGCUCAACAAGGCACAACAUUUUCCCUUAAAGUUGUUAACAUAUGAAACAAUCUGCAUGGAGAAGUUUUGUAAACUGGAAGACACUCAGUGUUGUGCACAGAACAGUUAAUAUCAUUUCUGAUGGGAAAGGCAAACUACCUCACAUACAAACUUCAGAGUAACUGGUAGGUAGCCACUGGAGAAGACAAAAAGGAAAAACAGAGAUCAUCACAAAAUACAGUUGGAUAUAUUUAUGGAUAAAGAUGACUGAAUCUGAAGUAACACUAUUCCACCUUCCAGAUCUCACUGUUUCCAAAAGAGAUGUCUCCUUUCCCUCAAGAUGAAUCAUCAGUUCUAGAAAUGGGCAUCAGAGGGAGUGAACUUUCUGCAAGAGAUGUGGACUUCAGAGUUGUCGAAGUGGACCCUGACAUUGGCAAAGAAGGUAACAGCCUUUUAAAAAAGGACUGGAGUGACAAGGACGGCAAUAUUUUCUCUCACUCUUUCAGGUAAUACAGAUAAUACUAUCUUACAUCUGAGAAUCUAUCAUACUGCUACUGAGGAAAUUUACUUCAUAGUUAAGAAAGGCCUUAAAAAGGGCAAGAUGUUCACUCUUAUUUCACUGGUCACUGUUUAGCUAACUAGACAGCUUUUAAUCUUGCCUGAAAUUUAAAGCAAAAAUGCCUGCGACUACCUGUUGGAUAUGAACACAGCUCCACCACAAAUAGCAGGACUAACUUCUCCUUGCAUCAGGCUACAAGUAUGUAUAAUAAUGUCUGUAUGAUUCCUGUCUCUCCUCACUAUGCUGUCUUGGCAAAUUAGUAUUGUCACAGUACUGUAUACUUCUAACCAGGCAAUGCUGAGGAUUUUAACAUAUAAGCAUCACAGAGUACCUAGUAUUACAGCAAUGACUGUAGUGCAGAAGUAAUAUAUGACUGCUCGCAAACCAAUCUUCCCAGAAACACUGGAAUCCAAAGCAGCAACUCCUGCAAAAAGAACCACAAAACAAAAUGCUAAAAAAUAGUCUAAGAAGAAAUUUAAUACUUUUGUAGAGGGUUAAUUCUAUUCAGUAAAUACUUCCUUAUUCUAGAUAUUUCUUAACAAUUAAUUGCCAGUUGCAUUUCUGAAGAAUUACUGUAGCAGACAUUUGCUUCUGCUUGUUUGCAAUGGUUUACUGGAUUUUUCUAGGAAAGAUAAUGAGUAUUUUCUGAUUCCUUGAUGUUGGUGAGGAGUUAGACUUCUGUUUAAUGAAAUUAUGUUGCAAUCUAUUUGUAUAGUCACUUAAAUAAUAAGUUCACUUUCAUCAAAUCUGUAACAUGUCAGUUUUAAAACUGAAGGCAGCAGGACAGGAGCUGCUGAGGGCUGUCGUCACAGGCUGUUCAAAGGCACACACAGACAUACAUGCCAGGCUUAUUCCUAGCAGGUUUGCCUGUGUUAACAGGUUUAGUUACUUGUUUUUUCAAACUAAGAUUCUUCUGCAGGUGGGCAGUACCCAGUCCUCACUGCCAGGAACUGAGGGCAGCUUCUGUUAAAGGAGGUGGGAAAAGUGCUGAGAAAGGUGUUGUUCUGAGGUUAGUUUAGCUUCUGGAAAAAAAAAUACUAUAUAAAACUGCUCAGGAAGUACCUUUUAACAGUUUAGAAGUUUUACAGUAGUAUCUGUAGGCAUACAAUUCAGUAACCAGGGCAAAAUGAGCAAUGUGACUGUAAAACUUGACUGUCUAUAAUCACACUAGUUAAUAAUUCACUGCUAUCUUUUUAUUACACAUUUGUGAUCCUUUUAUAUUUUUAUGUUUAUUGAGUCAAAUUAUCAAAGACUGGCCAGAUUCUCUUUUCUAGGAAAGCAAAACUACCAUGAGGAUAUUUAGUCUCAGAGAUGCAUGACUUUGCAUUAAGAAUAAAGUUUCAGAAGCUAUGGGGGAAAGCACUGAAGAUUUCCAAUGAUAAUGUAACUUUCUGAUCUUUGGACUGAGAAGGGAUUGCAGCAAGUAUACUUUAACUGUGUGUUAAAACCUGUUUCUAAAGAUAUAUUACAGCCGUAACAACUUGUACCUAGAACAUUCAUAUAAUGCCUUACUUGUACUGUUAAUUGUUAUUGAAAAUGUAAACAACCCUGGGAGGGGAGAAUGAAGGUUAUUUUAUCAUUUAUUUGAUGAUAUUGGGGUUUUCCACAGACAGUAUAUACAGUUAGAUUGAUUGCAGAAGAUACGUACAUAUACAUGCAGAAAUCAUGAUGUAAAGACUAUCACACUUGUACAGCAAGUAAGAAUUUUAAAAAUGUAUUAGUACUGCAAUGGAGCACAGAUCAGUGCACAGAAAAAAGCACUGCCACAGCUAUUAUAGGAGGCUGUCAGCAUUGAGCUUGUUUGAGGUGCAAAUAACACAGUGGACAUACAAUCAAGGCCAUCGUUUUCAUUUCUCAUGCUGGCAGUUAGGUAAAACCAAGUGGAAAGGAGGACAUUCACAUUGUGGUGAGCUAAGCUGUGGCAGUUAUGGUGAUAGGAAGUCUUGAGAUGAAUAAUAAUAUAUAAUGGGUUCUAUGGACAAUAGAAGAGCUGAUUUAAAUAAAUGACUGUCCAUGCUGAAACUUUUUGCAUCUUCUCUACUAACUCAGAAGAUUUUACAUUGUGUUUGUAAAGAAGAGCAGACUGUUAUGGCCAAAGAUCCAUAUUUUAUAAUAAAUAAUUGAUUUCUAAACUAAA